ensembl:misc_RNA
UGUAUAGAAAUGAACUCUUAUCAGAAUUUCAAAGGAAUUAAUAUUUCUGGUAAAAUGGGCUAAUAUAAAGAGUUGGAAGAUUAGUGAUGCAUAAUGAAUAAAAUGCAUUCUUUCACAUGGAAAUAAGAGUAUAAUAAAUGUCCUGCAGGUGAUUGGGGCUGUUGCAAUUUUAUUGAAGAUUAAAGUUUGAUUGACCUUUAUUGGGGCAAUUAACCUUUCUGAAAUUAAAAGCCAGAUCUGAAUUAGUCUGUCCCAUUUAAAUGCAAA